AAGUCGGUGGUUCAGUGGUAGAAUACUCGCCUGCCACGCGGGUGGCCCGGGUUCGAUUCCCGGCCGACGCA
rnacentral:tRNA from 4 species